ensembl:miRNA MIR144 microRNA 144
UGGGGCCCUGGCUGGGAUAUCAUCAUAUACUGUAAGUUUGAGAUGAGACACUACAGUAUAGAUGAUGUACUAGUCCGGGCACCCCC